UACAGAGGGUGCAAGCGUUAAUCGGAAUUACUGGGCGUAAAGCGUGCGUAGACGGUUGCGUAAGUCAGAUGUGAAAGCCCCGGGCUCAACCUGGGAAUUGCAUUUGAGACUGCGUAGCUAGGGUGCGGAAGAGGGAAGCGGAAUUUCCGGUGUAGCGGUGAAAUGCGUAGAUAUCGGAAGGAACACCAGUGGCGAAGGCGGCAUCCUGGACCGAUAUUGACGCUGAGGCGCGAAAGCCAGGGGAGCAAACGGG
rnacentral:rRNA from 1 species